rnacentral:rRNA from 1 species
GGUAAGGCCCCUUCGGGGGUACACGAGUGGCGAACGGGUGAGUAACACGUGAGCAACCUGCCCUUGACACUGGGAUAAGCGAUGGAAACGUCGUCUAAUACCGGAUACCAGCUCGGUGGGCAUCCACUGAGCUUGAAAGCUCCGGCGGUCAAGGAUGGGCUCGCGGCCUAUCAGCUUGUUGGUGAGGUAACGGCUCACCAAGGCUUCGACGGGUAGCCGGCCUGAGAGGGCGACCGGCCACACUGGGACUGAGAUACGGCCCAGACUCCUACGGGAGGCAGCAGUGGGGAAUAUUGCACAAUGGGCGAAAGCCUGAUGCAGCAACGCCGCGUGCGGGAUGACGGCCUUCGGGUUGUAAACCGCUUUCAGCAGGGACGAAGCUAACGUGACGGUACCUGCAGAAGAAGCACCGGCCAACUACGUGCCAGCAGCCGCGGUGAUACGUAGGGUGCAAGCGUUGUCCGGAAUUAUUGGGCGUAAAGAGCUCGUAGGCGGUCUGUCGCGUCGGAAGUGAAAACUCAGGGCUUAACCCUGAGCCUGCUUCCGAUACGGGCAGACUUGAGGAAGGUAGGGGAGAAUGGAACUCCUGGUGGAGCGGUGGAAUGCGCAGAUAUCAGGAAGAACACCAGUGGCGAAGGCGGUUCUCUGGACCUUUCCUGACGCUGAGGAGCGAAAGCGUGGGGAGCAAACAGGCUU